CCCAAACCUAACGAUUAAAGGUCAAACCAAACCGGCCUCUAACUGCACAACUGUCUCCUGGAGGAUAUUUGCUUCCCAACGUGGUCAGCUUUUAAAAGCAGMACUGACCACUGGUUUCAGACCCUUUUCCAGACCUCCUCUGCCAGGGGAGCAGAACGCUCCUGUCUGGAGAUCCAGGCAGCUCUGCUGCAUUCCACACGCCAGGCAUUGCAGCAAGGCAAGGUCACAGCAUGGCAGGGCAGUGAGAAAACUCCCAGAAAACUGCAUGGGCUCAUCUGCUCCUUCCACCACAGGAAGAAAAAGAUACCCUGUUUCCUGGAAGCUAAUAAAACAUCUCAAAUUUUACUGGAACACUGAAGAAAUGUCAUGUAAAACCAGUUGAAAACCCUGACCAGUCAGCUGAGCACAACUUGGCUGUGGCUGGAUCCACUGUAAUACCAGGGAGGCUCACAGACUGCUCUGAGGAACACAAAGAAGAUGUAUCAAGAGAAAUUAAGUCACGUGAACUUCUGAACCUGUAAAUAUGCUCUGGUAUGGUGGGAACUCAAUGGCUAAAAUGUAAGUUCAAAUUAAAACAUUAGCAUUUACUUCAAAUACUGAUCAAAUAAAUUAAUAAUAAAGGAAAAGAGAGGGUCAGA